ACGGCGAGUGAAGAGGGAAAAGCUCAAAGUUGGAACCUGGUAGGCAUAGCUUACCCGGAUUGUAAACUAAAGUUUUCGAGUCGUUUAGUCAGCCAGGUAAAUAAGUCCUCUGGAAAGGGGCGACAUAGAGGGUGAAAUCCCCGUCUUUGGCCUGAGUUUUGAUUAGGCGUUUGGCUUGGAAACGAAGAGUCAGGUUGUUUGGGAAUGCAGCCUAAAAUGGGAGGUAAAUCUCUCCUAAAGCUAAAUAUUGACGAAAGACCGAUAGCGAACAAGUACCGUGAGGGAAAGAUGAAAAGCACUUUGAAAAGAGGGUCAAAAAGUACGUGAAAUUGCUGAAAGGGAACCGUAUGAAAUCAGAUCUACUGGUAGGUAAUCAAUCUUUCCUUUGGGAAGGAUGCACUUGCCUACUAUGUAUGCCAGCGACAUUUUGGUUGGGAGGAAAAAAAUAAAGGAAAUGUAGCUUAGGUUUCGGCUUAGGUGUUAUAGUCCUUUAUAAAAUACUCUCGGCUGGAAUGAGGAACGCAGCAAACCGUAAGGCGAAGAUUUCAGGCGCUUAGAGGGAAUAAUUAGAGAAUUUCUGCUUCGGGUGGUGCUUUGAUUAUUACCUUUAACACGCUUGGAGUUCUUUUAAUUU
rnacentral:rRNA from 1 species